rnacentral:lncRNA from 1 species
AUAAUUACUUACAUUUUUAGUCACGCAUCAACAAGCCCCCAUCCAUAUAUUCGCCAUGACCCCGUGUAUUUCAACACACCUUGCCUCACCCCUCCGUCUACGCCUGGCAGUCUACCCCCGCCCCUGUUCAUCUGCAAUCCUUACGACACGACGGCCUUCGGCGAUAUGGAUACACGAGAAUGGAUACAGAUGGAUAGACGAGACAUUGGGGGUGGUAAGAGGAGAAGGAGGGAUAAUAUGAAGAAAUGCCGUAAGGUGUAUGGUAUUGACAAUCGAGAUCUUUGGUGUACCCAAUGCAAGUGGAAAAAAGCUUGCGUGCGAUUUCAAAUGGGCAGCUAUCACUCACAACGACAUUUUUAAACUUGUGAGAUAUUAAUUGAAAAUUUUAAAUGAACGGGCUAGGGACUGGAGUUUGCAAUGAUUUUGUAGCAAAUAGUUUAUCACAAAGCAACGCCAUUAUAAACAAUAUAUGUAUAUAUCUAUAUACAAAUUUUGUAAAUAGUAAUAACUUAAUGAUCAUUCAUAAAAUGAAGAAAUAAAAUUGAGAUGUAAUUCUUUAGACUAUGACAUUUAGCAUUCAAGGCUUUAACAAUCUGAUGUUGUAAUUGUACAGAACUUACUGCUGAGUCGGUUGAAGGUAGGCAUACGAUACAGGGUGCAAAGGGGGCGAUAAUCGGGGUUUCGGAACUACAUCAAUCCUUAAUAAAAAUUAUGGGAAACCCUCAUUCCGUGUUUUAAAGAUUCCGGUUUUUUCCUUCCCGUGUUUUACAGAUUCCGGCUUUUCUCAUCCCAGGUAUUACACUGUGCCGACUUUUCUCAUUCCGGAUUUUACAGAUUCCAUAUAUAUUUUUCGAUUCCGGAUUUUAAAGAUUCGGUUUUAAAGAUUCUGGGUUUUCUCGUUUCGGAUUUAAAAGAUCCGGAUUUUUGCGUUCCUGGUUUUAAAGAUUCUGGGUUUUUCGAUUCCGGAUUUUAAAGAUUCCGUCUUUUUCGAUUCUGUAUUUUAACUAUUCUGGGUUUAACGAUUAGGGGGUUUUUCGAUUCCGAGUUCAAAGAUUUGAGGGUUUUUGGAUUCUGGGUUUUAAAGAUUCGGGGGUUUUCGAUUCUGAGUUUAAUUAAAGAUUCGGGUGUUCUUUGAUUCUGAGUUUAAAGAUUCGAGGGGGUUUUGAUUCCGGAUUUUAAAGAUUCGGGUUUUUUUUUUAUUCCAAGUUGAAAGAUUCGGGGGUUUUUCGAUUCCAAGUUGAAAGAUUCGGGAGUUAAUUUUCGAUUCCCAGUUGAAAGAUUCGGGGUUUUUCGAUUCGAAGUUGAAAGAUUCGGGGGGUUUUCGAUUCCAAGUUGAAAGAUUCGGGGGUUUUUCGAUUCCAAGUUGAAAGAUUCGGGGGUUUGUCGAUUCCAAGUUGAAAGAUUCGGGGGGUUUUCGAUUCUGGAUUUUAAAGAUUCGGGGGUUUUUCGAUUCUGGAUUUUAAAGAUUCGGGGGUUUUUCGAUUCGAAAUUGAAAGAUUCGGGGGUUUUUCGAUUCCAAGUUGAAAGAUUCGGGGGUUUUUCGAUUCCAAGUUGAAAGAUUCGGGAGUUAAUUUUCGAUUCCCAGUUGAAAGAUUCGGGGUUUUUCGAUUCGAAGUUGAAAGAUUCGGGGGGUUUUCGAUUCGAAGUUGAAAGAUUUGGGGGUUUGUCGAUUCCAAGUUGAAAGAUUCGGGGGGUUUUCGAUUCUGGAUUUUAAAGAUUCGGGGGUUUUUCGAUUCUGGAUUUUAAAGAUUCGGGGGUUUUUCGAUUCGAAAUUGAAAGAUUCGGGGGUUUUUCGAUUCCAAGUUGAAAGAUUCGGGGGUUUUUCGAUUCCAAGUUGAAAGAUUCGGGGGGUUUUCGAUUCUGGAUUUUAAAGAUUCGGGGGUUUUUCGAUUCUGGAUUUUAAAGAUUCGGGGGUUUUUCGAUUCGAAGUUGAAAGAUUCGGGGGUUUUUCGAUUCCAAGUUGAAAGAUUCGGGGGUUUUUCGAUUCCAAGUUGAAAGAUUCGGGAGUUAAUUUUCGAUUCCCAGUUGAAAGAUUCGGGGUUUUUCGAUUCGAAGUUGAAAGAUUCGGGGGGUUUUCGAUUCGAAGUUGAAAGAUUUGGGGGUUUGUCGAUUCCAAGUUGAAAGAUUCGGGGGGUUUUCGAUUCUGGAUUUUAAAGAUUCGGGGGUUUUUGGAUUCCAAGUUGAAAGAUUCGGGGGUUUGUCGAUUCCAAGUUGAAAGAUUCGGGGGGUUUUCGAUUCUGGAUUUUAAAGAUUCGGGGGUUUUUCGAUUCUGGAUUUUAAAGAUUCGGGGGGUUUUCGAUUCGAAGUUGAAAGAUUCGGGGGUUUUCGAUUCGAAGUUGAAAGAUUCGGGGGUUUUCGAUUCGAAGUUGAAAGAUUCGGGGGUUUUUCGAUUCCAAGUUGAAAGAUUCGGGGGGUUUUCGAUUCUGGAUUUUAAAGAUUCGGGGGUUUUUCGAUUCUGGAUUUUAAAGAUUCGGGGGUUUUUCGAUUCGAAAUUGAAAGAUUCGGGGGUUUUUCGAUUCCAAGUUGAAAGAUUCGGGGGUUUUUCGAUUCCAAGUUGAAAGAUUCGGGGGGUUUUCGAUUCUGGAUUUUAAAGAUUCGGGGGUUUUUCGAUUCUGGAUUUUAAAGAUUCGGGGGUUUUUCGAUUCGAAGUUGAAAGAUUCGGGGGGUUUUCGAUUCGAAGUUGAAAGAUUUGGGGGUUUGUCGAUUCCAAGUUGAAAGAUUCGGGGGGUUUUCGAUUCUGGAUUUUAAAGAUUCGGGGGUUUUUGGAUUCCAAGUUGAAAGAUUCGGGGGUUUGUCGAUUCCAAGUUGAAAGAUUCGGGGGGUUUUCGAUUCUGGAUUUUAAAGAUUCGGGGGUUUUUCGAUUCUGGAUUUUAAAGAUUCGGGGGGUUUUCGAUUCGAAGUUGAAAGAUUCGGGGGUUUUCGAUUCGAAGUUGAAAGAUUCGGGGGUUUUCGAUUCGAAGUUGAAAGAUUCGGGGGUUUUUCGAUUCCAAGUUGAAAGAUUCGGGGGGUUUUCGAUUCUGGAUUUUAAAGAUUCGGGGGUUUUUCGAUUCUGGAUUUUAAAGAUUCGGGGGUUUUUCGAUUCGAAAUUGAAAGAUUCGGGAGGUUUUCGAUUCCAAGUUGAAAGAUUCGGGGGUUUUUCGAUUCCAAGUUGAAAGAUUCGGGGGGUUUUCGAUUCUGGAUUUUAAAGAUUCGGGGGUUUUUCGAUUCUGGAUUUUAAAGAUUCGGGGGUUUUUCGAUUCGAAGUUGAAAGAUUCGGGGGUUUGUCGAUUCCAAGUUGAAAGAUUCGGGGGUUUUUCGAUUCUGGAUUUUAAAGAUUCGGGGGUUUUUCGAUUCGAAGUUGAAAGAUUCGGGGGUUUUUCGAUUCCAAGUUGAAAGAUUCGGGGUUUCGAUUCCAAGUUCAAAGAUUCGGGGGGUUUUCGAUUCCAAGUUGAAAGAUUUGGGGGCUUUUCGAUUCUGGAUUUUAAAGAUUCGGGGGUUUUUGGAUUACAAGUUGAAAGAUUCGGGAAUUUUCUCAAUCCGAGUGUUACAGAUUCCGGUUUUUUUCAUUCCGUGUUUUACAGAUUCAUUCCAGAUUUUGAAUUAAAGUUUCCUGGUUUCCACGUUCCCCAUUCCGUUCCUCAUUCCGUUCCCCAAUUAUCCUGUGUUCUGUGUAUAUUGAAUUAUUAUAUUAAGCAUUCCAAAAUCCCAAGGGAAUUCAGACCAAUGCAUGCGUUUGGCAGUAGCCAAUGAUAGCAAAGCUUUUGCAAGCUAAACCAAUCAGAGCUCGUAGAAAUCUGACAAUAGCAAACAAAUCAGGCGUGGUUUACACAUUCGUGGCAAAUUUGAAUAUUUCUGCUCGAGGCUUCGAAAUGUAGAGAGUUAAUACUGCAAGAAAACUUCGCUUUUAUGAAACGUUUAUGAAAUAAAAUCGGUGUGUCAUGCAGAGGAAAAGGUCAGUAUUAAAUUUAGCUAUUUUUAAAACGUUUUUGAGUUGUUCUUGUUAAGUUAUUGCUGUUUUUUAAAACACGUGUCUAUAUUCAUUGUAGUACUAUUGAAUUUGAUUCCCAUUCAAGCGCUUCGUUUCAGCGCUCAGUCGCUUUAUUUUCUCAGUGUCUCUCCCUAUUUUCCUAGCAGUAAUGUUCAGAAAUACCACAGCUUUGAUUCAUUUAACUCAUAUUUGGUUUAUCUGCAAUUUCAGGGCGAAAAUUUGAAGAGAAAGUGAACUAAUUUAAGUCGCCGACAUGGUCGAAAUGCCGAAGCACUUGGUAAGCAUAAUGUCGAUUAAAGGCGUUUCCUUCUUGUUUGUUUCUCGUUUCAAGCUUCCCCAAUACACCUAAACGUUUUCUAGCAUUGCUUUGUAGUCUUAUGAACACUCUGAGUCAAGUUUAGUUACAAUAUUGGCGAAAGAUAUUGCUGUUUUUGAAACACGUGUGUAUAAAAUAAUAUGUACUGAAUUCGAUUCCCAGCGCUUCGUUACGGCGCUUGGUCGCUUUAUUCCUUUGGUCUUUCUCACUCAUUACCUGGCAGCAAUGUUCAGAAAUACCCUAGCUUUGAUUUAUUUAACUCAUAUUUAGUUUAUCUGCGAUUUCAGGGCGAAAAUUUGAAGAGAAAGUGAACUAAUUUAAUCGCCAACGUGGUCGAAAAGGCGAAGUACUUGGUAAGCAUAAUGUCCACUAAAGGCGUUUCCUUCUUGUUUUUUCUUUCGUUUUUAAGCUUCCCUUAUAAUAUACACCUUUACUACAAGAACUUUUUUAGUAAAGCCUUGUAGCUUUAUGAACACGCUCUGUCAAAUUUAGUUAAACUUUUGUUGAAAAUUUUGUCCGUACAGAGCGAAAUGCCGACUCAUAAUUUUAGGCAUGUUCAAUUCGACAUGCAUUUCAAACAUUCUAGCUUCUACAAACUUGCGUUUAUGUACAAAUUGUACUCUGAGAGGGAAGGCUAAGUUUUUUGAGUUUUUUGAGCUUGUCUAAGUUGAAUUUUAAUCCAGAUCUUUUGAAGCAGGUCAAAGACGAAAUAUCCUCGUGGUUCAUGUCAUAAUUUUAUGCAUACAUGGAUGCACGCAUUCUUGAAAAUUAAAAUAAAUUGGACAACCACACCCUGUGUAAACGAUAUUAGAGAGGUUAAGAUACACCGGUUUCGGUGUACGGGUACGAGUAGUGCCAUCUUGUUUUACUGAUGUCUGUAAUUCGAUCAUACUUUUUCUGUUUUCUUGCAAUAGACAAUGAUAUAAUGCGAAAAAUGUGCACCUUAAUUACGAGUAAAGGUACAGACAUCGACGAAAAUAUUGCUAACCAAAAUCAUGCUACCCGUAGACGUACACCGAAACCGGGGUAUCUUAGCCUCUCUAUUAAAUAACUCUUCGCUGUUUUGAAACUAAAAAUUCAUUAUCCAACUUUCUUAGAUUGCCUCAAAUUCGAUCACUCUGACGGCAAACAGUACAGAAAGACCUCUGCACAGAUUUGAAGAGACGCUCGCCUAGCAGUCGAAGCAAAACGAGAAGACGGGAUGGCAAAGGCCAAAUGAAGAGGGAUUCAAAAAACUUGAUACCAUAGUCUGGUAGUACCUGACGGAUCAGUAGAUACACCCAUCCUCAUACGAUUUCAUUCAAUCAGCCAAUUGUGAAUGAGAUGCAAAGACCUGCAAAGCGACAGUCGACGCCGCACCAUCCAGAGACCAUAACCAAUACGCCAUACCAUCGUGAAAGAUGUUCUACAUUACAGAAGGUAUAUUUUCCUCGUGAUUCUCGUUCAGUGCGUGUUCGAAAGUACGUGGGGACCACCCUGAAGACGCCCAAAUGCACAAAACAAAUUUAAAUAUGGCAAAAUUUUCCUUAAUUUCGCAAUUUAUUCAAAUUUUCUACAUUUCUUGGUAUUUGUGAAAAGCUCUUAACGAAAUCGAAAUGUUUGAAAUUCGGAAGUUUCGAUCUGGGAGUUUGUUUAUUUGAAAGAUAUUUGAAAUGAAAUUUUGAAGUUUACAUCACUUUGGUAUUUGGGUUAAACGCUAGGUAAAAUCAUGCCAGAUGAGUGGUCAAUCAUUCGUCGAAGUUCGGUGAUACUUGGGCUCGGACUUUCCCGACCUACAGUUGAGUUGCUCUGAUCGAUUGUCGUGAUCAACUAGCGCAAAUGUAAGGUCUGGCCAACCUUGCGUUUGUGCUUUUUGUUCGUAGCAUGAGAUUGGGACAGCUCGCCUGUAGGCCUGGUAAGAUCAAGCGGAAGUACCACCAAACUUUGAUUUGUGAUCGGCUUUUUGUCUGUCUGGCUUUAUCCAGCGUUUUCCCGUUAUCAUUUUGAUGUCGACUUUGGGAUUUUGGCUUGAAUAUAUUUAAUAUAAACAUUCUUUGAGGUUUAAUCUUUCAAGAAUUUCAUAGUUUUUGACUAGUUAAUGUGUUUCUCGCAGAUACUAUAAUUGUAUUAAAAAUAUUGACCAAAAAAAUUAAAACUGACCAAAACGUCAUUUGAGGUGUCGGAUGGGAGGUCCAGUGGCAGUCGUAGCGGAUACCAAUGGAUAAAUACGGAUUACUGUGACACUGUGUACUAUUGGAGAUAUUGUGAACAUUUAUGGAUAAUUGUGAACAUUAAUGGAUUACAACAAACACUUAUGGAUUAUUAUGAACAUUUGUGAAUAAAAUGUACCUCGCGAUCGACGGUUACCUACCAAUGUACCUUGACAACGAAAGCUGCACGACGGCAACGAGAUGACUGCCUCAAGGUUAGAGGGUUUAGUCUGAUAACAAGCUGUUGUUAGCUUGUUAUCAGGCAAAAGUUAGCCUGCUAUCAGGCAGUAGUUAGCCUGCUAACAGGCAGUAUAUCUGUAGGAUUCAUACCCAAGACUCUAAUUUGCAUGUUGUCGGUGAAGUCUAUGGGUUAACCGGUUUAAAAUUCCUGGCGGUCUGUGGUUAGUAGUACAUUUGCACGCAAGGUUGAUUUUUUAUUCUGAUGUUUGCAUGCUAAUAAAAAAUGAGAUAUUGACCUCAGUUAAUCAGAAUUUCGACAUCAUCUGAAUCGAAAGUCAAUCUUAUGAGGUUAACAUUUGAGCUUCCGGUCACGUGGUUCUUUGCAUGCACUCGGUUCGGUUAUUGGUGGGUUUCAGUAAGUGUUGCAGUCCAGACGAUGGAGCAAUUUAUUUGCUUCAAAUACUUGCUGGAGCAAUUUAUUUGCUUCAAAUACAAGACACAUAAAGUAAAAAAGAGUGAACAUUAUUUUUUCACUCUAGUAACUCGUAGUGAGACCCACCUAGAUAUUUGCGGUCUGUUCGUGCCAAUGUUCUUCUCUUUGUGUAAAUGUACUGCUUAGGUGUCUCCGUGUCUGUGCAUGGAUAACGCGGCGCGCAGCUAGUAUCCAGAAUAUAGGCAGACAAGUAAAACUUUGCCAGACUUAAAAAUUUUGUUUAUAUCAGUAUGUUAUGUUCAUAAAUGUAUAGAAAUAUCAUGAAAUGUGUUAGGCUUUGGCUUGGGGUUAAAUCUAACCCUAGAACCUUAACCUUAAUCCAUUACAUGAUCUGUAUAUUUGUGUACGUAAUAUAUGGGUGUAGCCAAAAUUUUAUUGAAAAGGUGGCACAGUUUUCCUUGAGUAGGAUAACUAAACUGGGUGCAAAUGGUAUCCAUAGCUUAGAGGGUGCAAAUGGUACCCGUAAGAAGAUUGGUGGAUAUUUUUGGACAAGAUGUUUUGAAAGAUCAGCUUAGGAUUGUAAUGACAUAAUUAUUGUAAUGAUAAAUAGUGUAGGCUUACGUGAAUAAUAAAUUGUCGACUCGUGGAAAGGUGUAUCUUUCAUCGCCCGUAGUGCAUGUAUAUCGCUGGUUUCGAACGUUAGUUUUCUGCCCCGGGUUAUAUGAAAACAGUUCGCUACCAGAGAUUAGGUCCCCUCUCUGUUAUUGGCACUCGACGAUGGAAGAAAUUAACAUAAGGCAUGCAAACCUUACCCCUGUUUGUGGAAGCUCACCAGGUGCAAUGGCACACUAGGUUAAGUUAAGCUAGGGGCAUGACCGAGACUCCACAUUCGGGGGUUUCCCUUGCAGGUUUUUUGAAAGGGUAUGUGCGCGCGCGCACUAAUUAGGAAGGUUAGGCAGCUAGAAAUAGGGCGCUUUGGCUGCUUUUUGAAUGUAUACUAUAUGAGGCAUGUACACUAUGAUUCAUUAUCGUCAUACUUUUGCGCCAGUAAUUCUGAGAAGUAUUUAGCACAACAGGAAAAUGGAAUCUGUCUUCCUGCUGAAAAAUACUUACAGAAAUAAUUCAAAGUGGAAAAAAAGGAAAUAUUGCGAAAAAGAGAAAAAUAAAAAGAAAACCGCGAAGCCACUUUGAAUAUAAGCAACAAUAGUCCAAGAAUACUCGUUGCAGAAAAAAAACAACAAAAAAGAAACAAUUUUCUGCCUAAAAUAUCUUGGAUUAGGAGCUUAACGAUAAGAAACGUAGUUCUCGCUCCAAAGUGGAGAAUAGGCUCGUUUCUUUAGGUUACUAAUGCAGUUGCGCGCGCGCUUUAUAAAUUACACUAUAUGUUUUCAGUUGAAAAGACCGCCAGGGAAAAUAGGGUGUUUUCAUGUGUUGCUUUGUUGACGGACAAGUUUUCAAAAUAAUGGUUUUCUUGUUUCCUUGUAUUUCGGCACUUUAACUUGUUCCCAAACAUAGCUGCCGUGAAAACACUCUGCAGAUCAAGUUCAUAUAUGGUAGCAAUAGCAAUAUAGAAUGUUUGCCAUGUUGCAUUCCGUGUUGUCUUGCAUUGUUCAUACAUAAGCUUGGUCGAACCAUGGAUCAUAAAAACACCAUGGUCGAACGCAGCUAAUUAACAUAAGCAGCGCGCGCGCGUGCGGCUGUAAUGCGGAGUACAGUCACUGAGUGUACUCCAUGUGCAAAUAGUGAAGUGUGCUCUAUAUAGUCUAGACUUGAAACAAGGUUUCAUGCGCCAAGUUUCAUGCUUAUUAAAAUUAAACGCGCUACCUUGGAUGCUAGGUAAAAUUAAGGGCAUAAAAAUCAGUGCAUGCUUUUUUUUAAAUUGAGUGCGCGCGGUGCAAUUUUCUAGCGCGCGAUAGCAAAAUACGCCAAAAAUCCAAAUAUAGAAAUGCACACAUCACAUCUUCGGAAUGCAUCCAAUUGUCCUAACACCUUUUACAAACUAUCGUAAAAUCUGUUGGGCUGUUGGAUUCAUUUGCCACGCACGUUGUCCUGAACAUAUUUGAAAUAUUUUCAAGUUUCAAGGUUAAGAUAAAUAUACCUUAUGUGGAACAAUUUGUUCAUAAAAAGGGAUAUAUUUAUCUUGCGCAAUCCGUAGACUGAAUUUUCGGGUGGUCUACAAUGUUUUAUUGAACAUCUCGUGAGAUUUUUUUUUUUUUUUGCAAGAUUUUUACCUUUCUGGAUUUUGGUAGGUAUGGGUAGGUAUGGUAUAUUAUAGUUAAUUCGUCUGUGUAAGUGGGUGGGGUUCCCCCUGCGGUUUUCGGUAUCAGGACUCAUAAUCACCAAGGUUUUUCACCAGAUCUCGCCAUGCACAGCAACCGUGCAUGGCACUUCUGGUUUUCCUCGGGUGAUUAUGCAUUUUUUCGUUUGGCAAAAUUCCAAAACAAAAAACAGUGUCCGUGUUCGGGACGAAUUUAGUACUGUAUAGAAAAAAUGGAUUAUAUAGCUGUUGUAUAUUUUCAUGUUCGUCGUUGAGUGCAUGUGUCUUUAUAUUCUGUGAAUGGAGUUGCAUGCUCUGAAAUAUAUGCAGUAAUUAUCAUAUUCCACAUCGUUAGACCCCAUUUUCCAUGUUUUGAAUUAAAAAGUGGUUUGCAAAGGGGGAGCCAUCUACAUGACUCAGGCAUAUAUGUUAUUUUCGUCAACAAUUUAGAUCAUUCCAGAAAACAUCCAUACCUCCCCACAGAGGAAAUUAAAUUAACCCGUUUACCCUAGAGCUUCGAACAUCCUAGUACAUUUACUAUUAUCAGAAACAACCUUUUAUCCCCUCCCCCUUCGGAUAGCAGAAAUUUCCUCCUUGGGGAUAGGGUUGAUUUUUUUGGAAUGAUUCAAUUUUGCUGAAAUACAAAGUUGCAGAUACCAGUAAUAAAUUAAAAUUUUCUAACCAAUAUAGUACCAGACAAUUAAAUUUCCUGAUCGAUAUAGGCACUAAUCUAGUCUUGAAAAUUUCGACAACACAGUACUCGUUCAUUUCUGGGUUGAAUUCCCAGAACACUGUUUAAAAGUAUUUACCAAAAAAAGUAAUGUUUGUAUACUUUCAUGGCAUAUUCUCGCAAAAGUUCCAUUAGGAGGAACCGCUUAUUAUCUAUGAGGGAGGGUGGGCCGGUUGGAUUGGGAGAUGGGGGCAGAGUUUUAAAAUAGUUUCUUGGGGUGGGCCAAUGUAAUUGUGAAUGAGAGGGGACUCAAGCGGGUUAGGGGCUAUAGAUCACAUUUCCCAACCCCACCUUAUCAAUCUCAUUUCCAGUUAUAUGUUCUAGCCCAAUUCCCAGUUCCAACAAUAAUCUUAAAAGAAUAUCCCUGGCCAGCUGUAUGAUCACCCAUGUUCAAACUGAACUUGUGCCCACAGCCAUGGGGAGAGAGGGGUGUGCCCCCCCCCCCUAGAUAGUGAACACCCUUUUAUGUUCAACCUGGACCACAGAGCCCAGGAAAUGUACGUAUUCGCUUAAAACUGUGUUAAAAUUAAAUGCGCAUAAAGUUCGCCUCACUUUUCUUUCUAGCGCUUUAAUUAUUGGGUGCCGAGUGGGUGUGUGGCAAGACGAUGACGUAACCAUGUGAGUUAGCAUACAUAAUGAACUACACAAUAUUAUCGCCAAUAUCACUAGAUAGCAGAGUCAGUUUGUGCGAAUUUUAAGUACUAUCUAAAACACACGUAGGAGUGUUUUA